rnacentral:rRNA from 1 species
AGGACGAACGCUGGCGGCGUGCUUAACACAUGCAAGUCGAACGGUAAGGCCCCUUCGGGGGUACACGAGUGGCGAACGGGUGAGUAACACGUGGGUAAUCUGCCCUGCACUUCGGGAUAAGCCUGGGAAACUGGGUCUAAUACCGGAUAUGAGCUCCUGCCGCAUGGUGGGGGUUGGAAAGUUUUUCGGUGCAGGAUGAGUCCGCGGCCUAUCAGCUUGUUGGUGGGGUAAUGGCCUACCAAGGCGACGACGGGUAGCCGGCCUGAGAGGGUGAUCGGCCACACUGGGACUGAGACACGGCCCAGACUCCUACGGGAGGCAGCAGUGGGGAAUAUUGCACAAUGGGCGGAAGCCUGAUGCAGCGACGCCGCGUGGGGGAUGACGGUCUUCGGAUUGUAAACCCCUUUCAGUAGGGACGAAGCGAAAGUGACGGUACCUGCAGAAGAAGCACCGGCUAACUACGUGCCAGC